CCUACGGGAGGCUGCAGUGGGGAAUAUUGCACAAUGGGCGCAAGCCUGAUGCAGCCAUGCCGCGUGUGUGAAGAAGGCCUUCGGGUUGUAAAGCACUUUCAGCGGGGAGGAAGGCGGUGAGGUUAAUAACCUCAUCGAUUGACGUUACCCGCAGAAGAAGCACCGGCUAACUCCGUGCCAGCAGCCGCGGUAAUACGGAGGGUGCAAGCGUUAAUCGGAAUUACUGGGUGUAAAGCGCACGCAGGCGGUCUGUCAAGUCGGAUGUGAAAUCCCCGGGCUCAACCUGGGAACUGCAUUCGAAACUGGCAGGCUAGAGUCUUGUAGAGGGGGGUAGAAUUCCAGGUGUAGCGGUGAAAUGCGUAGAGAUCUGGAGGAAUACCGGUGGCGAAGGCGGCCCCCUGGACAAAGACUGACGCUCAGGUGCGAAAGCGUGGGGAGCAAACAGGAUUAGAUACCCUUGUAGUC
rnacentral:rRNA from 1 species